AUUGAACGCUGGCGGCAUGCCUUACACAUGCAAGUCGAACGGCAGCACGGGAGCAAUCCUGGUGGCGAGUGGCGAACGGGUGAGUAAUAUAUCGGAACGUGCCCAGUCGUGGGGAUAACGUAGCGAAAGCUACGCUAAUACCGCAUACGAUCUAUGGAUGAAAGCGGGGGAUCGCAAGACCUCGCGCGAUUGGAGCGGCCGAUAUCAGAUUAGGUAGUUGGUGAGGUAAAGGCUCACCAAGCCGACGAUCUGUAGCUGGUCUGAGAGGACGACAGCCACACUGGGACUGAGACACGGCCAGACUCCUACGGGAGGCAGCAGUGGGGAAUUUUGGACAAUGGGCGGCAAAGCCUGAUCCAGCAAUGCCGCGUGCAGGAUGAAGGCCUCGGUUGUAAC
rnacentral:rRNA from 1 species